AAGCUCCCUGCUCUCAGGAGAAUCUGGCACAGCACCAUCACCAACUCAGAGGGAGGGAAGCAACCUUGAGUCAGCUCCCAGGCAGUAAUGAGUGUUCAAGGGAGAUAUAACUCUAAGGAAAAGGAUUGAGGUCAAGGAAUUAGAAGAAACAGAUGGAAGAAUCAUUUGAACCAUAUCCAGGUCUUUUGAAAAUGAUGAGACAGAAGAGAAAGCGAAAAUUGCUUCAGACAGUUUUGCUGAGAAAUUUGUCUCAGAUAAAUUUUGGAGUAAGGUCAGAGACCUAAGAUAAGAAAACCCCUAGGCAGAGGUGGGAAAAAAUAGAAAAAAGAAAACGAAAAGAGCAAAUACAUUCUUCCUUCCUAUCUUCCACUUGCCAGAGUAGCUUUACUAAGAUGCUGCCUGAUCAUUUCUCUCCAGACACUUUUGCCAAUGAUAUUAAUACUAUAAAGGAGCAUUUCUGGACUUGAUUCAUUAAUGAUUAGAAAGCUCGUAACAGAUUAGAUGACCAGGCUACAGUCUCACCUGCCAGGCAGUGCAGCUGCAGAUCUUGGCUGACCAUCAUGUCAGGCACCUACUAUGUGCCAGUCACUGUGCCAGGAGUUGGAAAUAUGAGGAAGACCGUAAUUCUCAUAAUGAGAAUACAAGGAAGACCAUCUCUCAAGAAAGGAACAUCAUAAAACAUGUUUACUGUCAAGUCCUUGUCAUUAUCAAAAAUAUCUCCAGAUUGAUGUCAUUCUGAGAAAAGUGAUUUCAUACUGAAAAAAAUUCUACAAAAAUAGUAAAACUCUUCUUCUCAAUUUUCAGAACUUGGAUGGGGUUGGGGGCAGGUGCUUUCAUCUAUUUUCAUCUUGUCCUGGUAGAAAUUAUUUGCUUGAUUAACAUUUUGGUGGAGAAGUUCAGUCUCUAAGGCUACAGAUGAGAAGAUCAGUUACUGGAUGGGUUCCUAACUUCAAUGUCAAAUCCAAGAGCCUGAAAAUAAAGGAUGGAAAGAAAGGGAAACAAAGAAAAGUUAUCAGACAAUGUGAAGACAUUUUAUGGAGAGGAAGAAAGAGUGAGUGAGCACAGGAAAAAUCACAAAGCAGUAUAUGAAGAAAAGAAAGAGAUAACAGUUAUUAGUAAGUAAAGAGAUAAUUAAGAGAUAAUCCUUUCAGUGGCAUGAACACCAUAGUUUGUGACAUCACUGGUCAUUAAUGAUUUGUGAGAAGCAGUGUCUCAACUAUGUUUCUGUUACAUUAAUUAUACCCAAAAUAAAAUAUUUGCACACCUAUUGUUCCACAGUUA
rnacentral:lncRNA from 1 species